rnacentral:rRNA from 1 species
UACGUAGGUGACAAGCGUUGUCCGGAUUUACUGGGCGUAAAGAGCGCGCAGGCGGUCGUUCAAGUCGAGUGUGAAAGCCCCCGGCUCAACUGGGGAGGGUCACUCGAUACUGAUCGACUCGAAGGCAGGAGAGGGAAGUGGAAUUCCCGGUGUAGUGGUGAAAUGCGUAGAUAUCGGGAGGAACACCAGUGGCGAAGGCGACUACCUGGCCUGUUCUUGACGCUGAGGCGCGAAAGCUAGGGGAGCAAACGGG